rnacentral:rRNA from 1 species
UACGUAGGGGGCAAGCGUUGUCCGGAAUCAUUGGGCGUAAAGCGCGUGUAGGCGGCCCGGUAAGUCCGCUGUGAAAGUCGGGGGCUCAACCCUCGAAUGCCGGUGGAUACUGUCGGACUAGAGUGCGGAAGAGGCGAGUGGAAUUCCUGGUGUAGCGGUGAAAUGCGCAGAUAUCAGGAGGAACACCAAUUGCGAAGGCAGCUCGCUGGGACGUGACUGACGCUGAGACGCGAAAGCGUGGGGAGCAAACAGGAUUAGAAC